rnacentral:rRNA from 1 species
UACAGAGGGUGCGAGCGUUGUCCGGAGUCACUGGGCGUAAAGGGCGCGUAGGCGGCGCGGUAAGCGUGCGGUGAAAGCCCGGGGCUCAACCCCGGGUCGGCCGUGCGGACUGCCGGGCUGGAGCACUGUAGAGGCAGGUGGAAUUCCGGGUGUAGCGGUGGAAUGCGUAGAGAUCCGGAAGAACACCGGUGGCGAAGGCGGCCUGCUGGGCAGUAGCUGACGCUGAAGCGCGACAGCGUGGGGAGCAAACAGG